CCGGUGCUAAUACCGAAUAGUUUUCGGCCCCUCCUGGGGCGGAACGGAAAGACGGCAUCUCGCUGUCACUGCAGGAUGGGCCCGCGGCGCAUUAGCUAGUUGGUGGGGUAACGGCCCACCAAGGCGACGAUGCGUAGCCGACCUGAGAGGGUGAUCGGCCACACUGGGACUGAGACACGGCCCAGACUCCUACGGGAGGCAGCAGUAGGGAAUCUUCCGCAAUGGACGAAAGUCUGACGGAGCAACGCCGCGUGAGUGACGAAGGUUUUCGGAUCGUAAAACUCUGUUGUUAGGGAAGAACAAGUGCCGUUCAAAUAGGGCGGCACCUUGACGGUACCUAACCAGAAAGCCACGGCUAA
rnacentral:rRNA from 1 species